rnacentral:rRNA from 1 species
AUAGCGCGGUGGUCCCACCUGACCCCAUGCCGAACUCAGAAGUGAAACGCCGUAGCGCCGAUGGUAGUGUGGGGCUUCCCCAUGCGAGAGUAGGGAACUGCCAGGC